GAGGUCGAGAGGCGCUGCAACGGGCUCGGGCCCGCCACGCUCGGCCGAGUCACCGUGAACAAGGGCGCCUCCCACAA
rnacentral:ncRNA from 2 species